rnacentral:lncRNA from 1 species
CCAAUCACAAAUGUGGUUCUCACCAACAGGUCGUUCAACCGAUGCCAUGAAUAUGAAGGCCACUUCGGGAACUGAUUAGGUGGGCUGUGUUCCCAUAUUGACAGGCCCAGAUUAUUCACGGUGAUCUAAGAGAACAGAAUUUAGCUCUCAGAAGGAACUGAGAAAGUCAUGCAAUCCUUAUUGACCCUUUACACUUCCAUCCAAUCAUGUAUGUGAUCUAGUGUCUUCACCUUCUCCUUCAGCCAAUACUGACUGAUCCUUUCUCAUAGCUUCUGUAUGAGUCAGGGUUCUCCAGAGGAAGAUAAUCAACAGGAAGUAUGACUAUAAAAAGGGGACUCACGAGAUUGGCUUACCCAACCAGAAGCUAGAUAGUCCACAAUGGCCGUCUGCAGGCUGGGGAGCUGGAGGAACCAGCAGCUGCUCCAUCCAAGAGGCUGAAGCCCCAGAACAAGAGAGAUCCAUGAUGCUACCCCAGUGUGAGACCCAAGGCUUCUGGAAACUCCCUGGAGAAUCCCUGGCAGAGUCCCAUUUGGAAGAGUGAAGGAGAGAGGCGAUCCAAGCAGCCAUCAAGAACCCAUUCAAGAACAAUGGAGCGUGCAUCUGAUGUUUGCCUAAUUGUUCUUCCAAAUUUUAUUCCAUCCAAGCCACCAUCCUAUUGGAUGGCACUGCCUAUUCUCAGGGAGGGUCUCCACUUCAGUUUGCUGUCCCACAGGACAGUCAUUCCUAGACACACUCUCAUUGACACACCCCGAAGCCUCUGAAUCUUAAACAUCUCAAGCAUCUCUUAAUCCAAACAAGUUGAGGAUUCAAGUUAAUACUGCUUAAGGAAGACAUGGGAAAUGUGGAUCUCCACCCCCUCCUGCCCCUUGCUAAAUAGAUAGUCUCUGGCCCCAGUGAAUCCCAUUUUCUAAACCGUUGAUUUUACAGUGAUUCCUAAGGGAUUUCUUCUGCACUGAGCCAUUUCUCUGACUCACCACUCUCUCAGCAGUGUAAAAAAAAAAGUCCUGGCUUGGAUACAGACCCUAUAACCCUAUUUUUUUUUUUUCAGAUUGACCUUUCCAGUUGCAAAGAGAACUGCUAGGGGAGCCAGAUGUCUGAUGCUUUUUAACUAGAUGGUCCUUGUAGAUGGUGUCUAGAAACAUGUUCUCUACAUUUUGCUGGUUCCCAGAAUGUUGUGAUCAUCAGAGCUUUUAGAGACAUGUGGAAAAGACACUCAGCCAGUCAGUAUCAUCUGGGGGACACAUGAGAGCAUGCACUCUGGUCGCCCCAUGCUCUUGGUCUCCAUUCAGCCUCCUUUACGCCCAGGACUUUGCUUUUGGAAAUCCACAUUCUCCUCCUUUUUUUUUUUUUAUUUUGUACUGGGGAUUGAACUCAGGCGUACUCUACCACUGAGCCACAUCCCCAGCCCUAUUUUGUAUUUUAUUUAGAGACAGGGUCUCACUGAGUUGCUUAGGGCCUCACUAAGUUUUGCUGAGGCUGGCUUUGAACUCAGGAUCCUCCUGCCUCAGCCUCCUGAGCCUCUGAGAUUAAAGGUAUGUGCCACCACACCCACUUGGAACCCACAUUCUCUACACAUGCCUGUCGACAGACAUGGCACUACUGUACUUUUUAUCACUUAUUUGCUCAAAUUGAACAGGGUACACACCAUCUCUGGCCCUCCUCUGCUCAGCACUCUGACAGAUACUGUGCGUUCUCAGCCAAAGCAAAAUAAAAUUGUGCACAUUAAGCAAAGUCUGAUGCUCAGGAGGACACCGGUGUGUCCGUGCAAUGCUCCUUGAGGACCUCAUGUCUCAAGUUUGAUGUCACCGAGAGAGAUCUUUUCACUGGCUUCAUUCCAAAGAAGUGGCCCCGGUUUUUAUUGAUUAGCAAUGUGAAGAUGUGCGUGUCUUUUUACAAGAGCACCUUGUUUGAAUCAUAUUUAGACACAGGCUAAAAGUAACCAGGCUCCAGCUAGGGUGGUGGCCUUGCUUGAUUUCUUAGCGGCACCAGGAACACUCAUGCUAGGAGGCUUUGUUCUCUCUCCUCCCUCAGCACCUGGAUCUUUGUGUGUGUGUGGCAUGAGGGACUGAGCCCAGGGGC